rnacentral:miRNA from 1 species
CAAUGCCCCUGCCAUGCAGCC